GUUUCGAUCUGUUGUGGGCAGAUGUAAUGAAUGUGUGUGUCUAUUCCUCCUGCGGUUACAAUAUAUCCUUUUCCGCCAUGUACUUCUGUAGAAGCUCCAAUGAUCAUGUUGGGAGUUACACCAUCCAUCGUAUCAGGAUUUCCGGCUUUUCCGAUCCCGACGAUCUUUCCGUCUUUGAUUCCUAUAUCUGCUUUUACAAUUCCCCAGUGAUCUAUGAUGACCGCUCCUGUGAUACAAAGAUCCAGCACCCCUUCAUCUCUUUUACGGGUCACAUUCUGUCCCAUUCCGUCACGAAC
rnacentral:sRNA from 1 species